rnacentral:rRNA from 1 species
AAAUCCGGUUGAUCCUGCCGGAGGCUACCGCUAUUGGAGUUCGAUUAAGCCAUGCGAGUCGAGAGUCUUAGGGACUCGGCGUACCGCUCAGUAACACGUGGGUAACCUGCCCUAUGCUGGGGAAUAACCUCGGGAAACUGAGAAUAAUGCCCCAUAGUCCACAAUGCCUGGAACGGUUUGUGGAUCAAAGCUCCGGCGGCAUAGGAUGGGCCUGCGGCGUAUCAGGUUGUAGGGGGUGUAACGUACCCUCUAGCCAUCAACGCGUACGGGUGUUGGGAGACAUUGCCCGGAGAUGGAUUCUGAGACACGAAUCCAGACCCUACGGGGUGCAGCAGGCGCGGAAACUUGGCAAUGCGAGAAAUCGUGACCAGGGAACUCCAAGU